GCGCCCCUUACCAGCUUCCAGUCUCUCGAGGUGGCCUGUGUGGUGCUUGGUCCUUGUUUCCAGGAUGGACUUCCCCGGCUCCCUCCGCCCUGCGUUGUUUCUGACCGGCCCCCUUGGUCUGAGCGACGUCCCUGACCUCUCUUUCAUGUGCAGCUGGCAAGACGCGCUGACUCUGCCAGAGGCCCAGCCCCAGAACUCAGAGAAUGGGGCACUGCAUGUGACCAAGGACCUGCUGUGGGAGCCAGCAACCCCUGGGCCUCUCCCCAUGCUGCCUCCCCUCAUCGAUCCCUGGGACCCUGGCCUGACUGCCCGGGACCUGCUUUUCCGCGGAGGGUACCGGUAUCGGAAGCGGCCCCGAGUCGUGCUGGAUGUUACUGAGCAGCCGGUUCCUCUUGGAUCAUGGAGACGUAGCCUUUGCGCCCCUGGGGAAGCUGAUGCUGGAGAAUUUCAAGCUGGAGGGAGUGGGGGUGAGUGGCCCGUGACUCCAGGGGUGGGGACUCCCUGCUGUCCUUCAGGGGUGAACUCGAGGGUGUGUGAGCCUGACAAGGCCUUUCCAUGCAGAGCCGCACUAAGAAGAAGACAGUGGUCAGUGUGAAGAAGCUGCUCCAGGACCUCGGUGGACACCAGCCCUGGGGGUGUCCCUGGGCUUACCUCAGCAACCGACAGCGCCGCUUCUCUAUCCUCGGGGGCCCCAUCCUGGGCACGUCGGUGGCGAGCCACUUGGCAGAGCUGCUGCACGAGGAGCUGGUGCUGCGGUGGGAGCAGCUGCUUCUGGAUGAGGCCUGCACUGGGGGCGCGCUGGCCUGGGUUCCUGGAAGGACACCCCAGUUCGGGCAGCUGGUCUACCCUGCUGGAGGCGCCCAGGACAGGCUGCGUAUCCUUUCUUGCGAGACAGGAGAUUCCAGCGGGCUCGCCUCUGGUAGAGGAGGUGCUCUUGGCAUGGUCCAGAGAAGGGCAGGAAUUUGGGGGGCUUGCAGUGACCAUAGCUCGUGCACUGAUCCUUAGUGAGAGGCCCAGAUUUCCAAGAGGUCGUUCUGACCCCAG
rnacentral:sRNA from 1 species